rnacentral:lncRNA from 1 species
UCUCGGAAGGUGAAUGAACAGUGGCAACUGCCCGGAGUAACUGAACUCUGAUUCCUCCUGUGGGCUGGAAAAGGAAACUCUCUGAAGCCAAAGAAGACAGAGCAAUUUCUAGUAAGACAGCCUCAGUCAGAGCCCACACCGACCAACAACUAAAAGACAGCCCAUAGAUGUCCUGUGUCUGACUUCCUUGUGUUUACUUCUUGUCAGAUUAAAAAGCCAAAAACCAAGACCAGACCAGUCCCACAACAAGCCUUUAUUAAGGAGAAGGGACAAUCUGCCAGGCUGCCUCUGAACAAAGAGUGCAGCAACAUGGCAGGGGCUGGAGCACCUUUAUAGAGGUUGUGUGGGGACUGAGAGGUAUGACAGUGAGGGAUUGGAGGGUCUACAAGGCAUGUCACCCAAGGGAUUGGAGGAACUUGUCUCAUCACUAGUUGCCAGGAAGGGAGCAAGUACCAGGCUACUUUUUGGGUGGGAAGAGAGGCAUGUUGGGAAGAAGAAGAUUGUCUUUCGGCAGGAGAAGCCAUUUUGAGGCUAGGUUUAGGCGGGAAACACUGCAUUAUGGGAAGAAGAAAACCAGUUUGGGCAGGAAGGAAGCCAUCUUGGGGUUGGGUUUUAGGUGGGAACACAGUGGAUUGUGUGAAGAAGGAGAGCUUGUGGCAGGAAAUGGGGUAUUAUGGGAAGGAGAAGGUGGUCAUUACAUGUAGCUGCUAUUUUAAGGAGAAAGAAAUCUAUCACUUCUCAUCUUAAUGCCAGUGCCUGGACAAUGUUCUCUGCCCUCCAGGAGAGAAGGGAGAGGCCAAGAAGGCUCUGUCCAACUAGAGAACUGUGGGACCAGCAGAAAAGUUUCAAGCCUGGGUCACCAGGAGACUCAAAGAGCUGCUGCCGCACGCCCCCCACCCAGGGAGUCUCCCAGUGGAGAACAGGAAGUGCCUGGUGCCUCAGUUCUUCCCUUCAGUGACCACACCACAGGCUCGUCAAUACCUCUGGACUCCGCAGGGGUGACUGGCAGGCUCUGGUUCACACCUGCUUCCGGUGAACCAGCGCUUCUUUCUUUCGGAACUGGAACUGAAGAUCCUCCCAGUUCUGGUGGGUAGAAGACCCAAAGAGCUUGGUGUCAGCAUCUUGGCGAGGGACCUCAGACUGUGUCCCAGGGCAGAGAGCCAGCCAGCUCACGCAGUGACUUCAGCUAUAACGACCCACUGUCCUGAGGACUAACGGAGGCACACCAGAUCUGACCCACUCUCACGAGAAAGCAGUGAUCCGUUUAUGAGAGGUGAGCCCCAGGACCUCUCUGCAUCCAUUAGCCACCACCUCUUAGUGUCUCAUGCACCACUGACACACUGGGGCUCAAGCUUCCAGCACGUGGGUUUCUGGGCACAAAUCUCAUCUGAACUAUCAUCCAAGUCCAGGGAUGUGGUGCUCAUGGCAACAUCUGUUUCCUGGAGUUUGGGUAGGAGCCCAGAGUUCUGAACAAUAAAGAGUGGGGGCUAGCUGGAGGCAGAAGUGCACACUGGCCGUCCCAGCACCCGGGAGGCUGAGGAUCAGAGGUUUGAGGCCAGUCCAGGGGACUUCGCAAGAUCCUGUCUCAGGGUAGAAAAUAAAAACACAGAUCUAGGGAUGCAGUUUUCUGUGGAAUGCUUGCCCAGAAUGUGCAAGUUCCUGGGUUCAGGCCUCACUGUUGCAGAAAAUAAAUGAAUACAAAGAAUUGGGGAUUCUGAAAAAGAGCUGCUGGGUACAUCAACAAAGAACUUGCUAAGAGGUGGCCAGGCCCAUUUGGGAUACUUUUGCCUGUCCCUCACCCCCAGUCUGUAUAUAAGAGCAGCCUAGAGAUUUGUCCAGGAUUUUAGGAGAACAUUGUGGACAUCCGAGAAUAUGUGGAGGACGGAUGCUGUCCUCUUCCAAACCAACGAAAAGAAACCAAUUUCCUCCAAGACCAAGAGUCAAAGAAUAGUGAGGAAGCCCUUGGGAGGAUGAACACGAAUGUCUUUGUGCUUGUUGGGCACAGAGUAAAGUGCCUGGCCCUUGCUCUGGCACACAGUGGUUGCAGUUGCCCACAGAGCCACAGUUUCAGAAACUCUCGAACUGUCUAGAACUCAGUGUCCACAGACAACCACAGAAGAUGGACACGAGACAGCCUGGCUGGGGUGCAGUUUCCCAAGAGGAAGAAGCUAGGGAGGCACUGCCGGAAGUCUGCGCUGGGAGUGAGAAACCUGAUGGGUUAAGAGUCCUGGUCAACACCCCAGUGUGAGUGCUCUGGAAGGGAAGAAGGCAUGUGAAGGAGUCCACAUAGCAGGCCGGCCUGGCGUCCUUUGAAAAGCCUGCUUGCCAGGUUGGCCUUGACUGACCUCAGCUCCUGUCUGGGAAUUCAGCAUCUGCUGUACUGCUGCUAAGAAUGUGGCACCAUAGCUAAACUGUUUGCAUAAACAGUACCAUCCAUGCUGGACACCAGCUUCUCCUUCUGGGAGCCUCACAUUUUGGUAUGUGCCAGGCAGGGAGGCUGUUUCCUUAUCAGCCCCUAAUCAAAACUCAGGACACAUUGUCUGAUGGAGACCACCUUAAGAGAGCUGAAAAUUCACAAAUUGGCUUUUCAUAUUAAAAGUCUGAGUCUACCUAUUAGCCCACAAUGGCUGCCUAAAGAGCCAGCAGUUGGUGUGUGGGAAAGGAACAGCUCCCCAUGCCACUGGUUAUGGCAAAGGUCUCAACGAUCCAUGACACGUGAUGUCUUGGAUGGCAAGACAAUGGUGCAGCUAAGGGCAGCAUGACUCAUAUAGAAA